UACGGAGGGUGCGAGCGUUAAUCGGAAUUACUGGGCGUAAAGGGUGCGUAGGUGGUAUGGUAAGUUAUCUGUGAAAUUCCUGGGCUUAACCUGGGACGGUCAGAUGAUACUGCUGUACUCGAGUAUGGGAGAGGGUAGUGGAAUUUCCGGUGUAGCGGUGAAGUGCGUAGAGAUCGGAAGGAACACCAGUGGCGAAGGCGGCUACCUGGCCCAAUACUGACACUGAGGCACGAAAGCGUGGGGAGCAAACAGG
rnacentral:rRNA from 1 species